CGGCGACGGCGCUUCGGCUGUUUCCGGAGGGGGGCGCCCCUUCGGUGAGUUCCGGCGGCGACGCUUCGGCUGUUUCCGGCGGGGGCUCUUCGGCAAGUUCCGGCGACCCCGAUCGGAAAUGGCCGAGCGCGCUGGCUGAUUGACGCCUGCCUGGCUGGGGAGCGAAGGGAGCCGGCGGGCCGGAGGGCUGCGGGGAGGAGGAGGCGGCGGGGGCGGCCGGUCCCCGGGCAGGACGGCGGCGUUGGAGAGGUCCUGAGGAGCGGCGGCGGCGGCGGCGGCGGCGGCGGCGGCCCCCAAGGUGGCGGCCUCCUUGCGGACCGGCGCCCCCCGGGUGGAGCGGGGCGUGAUGCCGCCGGCCCGGAGCUGAGGGCCGGGACCCCGAGGGCACGGCGACAUCCGGGUCGGGCCGGGCGGCCAGCCUCUGUUCGCGGGCAGCCCCGAGGGGCCGGGGGGAGGGGUUUGCCGGCUCCUCCCGGGCGGGCGAUGGAAACGGCCGGCCGCGCCGGACCGGAGCCGGGGCAUCCGCGCACGCGCGCCUGAGCCCGGCACCGCCCCCGGACCUCGCCGCCGUCUCGCCACGCCGAUGACGUGACGCCGCCCGCGGGCUGAGGCGGCCCGGGGGCGCGCGCGUGCCCCGGUCGGCCGUCGGACCCCACCCGCCCCGGGCCCGGCGGAGGGGGCGGGGGCGCGGACCGGCCCCGCGCGGGCCGGGACCAUGAAAUUCCCGUUCUACCGGCGCCCCGGGGAGACGGCUCAGUAGCGCGGGUCCGGCGGCGGCGAGCCCCCGGCCCGGGAUCAUGGCCCCCGAGCCGCCGUGACCGGGCGGGGCGACGGCCGCGCUGGGCCCGGGGCCGGGCUGGACCAUGUGGC